rnacentral:piRNA from 1 species
UGUGAUUACAGGUGUGAAAUAUCAAUGCU